AGUGAGUGCUGUGAUUUAGUUGAUUUUGGGUGUGUGGUGGUGACGGCGUGGUGCUGGCGAUGCUGUUCUGGUGGUGGUGGUGAUGACGGGGAAGAUGUUUGACUCAGCAGCCACACGCAACCCGCGGUGAUGCCCGGGUUACUACAGGCCGCCAUAGCCAUGCAGCACCGAAAUCGAACCAGUGCUGACCCGACGCGACUCCCUGGGGGCACUAGUAUUACCAAACUUUCAUCAAACCUACGCACAUUCAAGACAAAGGUGAGAGUGAAUACACUCCCGGACGAAGGACGUUCACCAAGGAACUCUCCCGAGGCAGCGCAGCGCGGGCCACCAACUCGGAGGGAGGCAAGUGGUCUGAUUUGAUAUUUGUUUAUGUUCGGUGUAGCUUUCAUGUAUUCUUUUUACCGAAGACAAAGAAUCAAGUAUUAACACUUUUUUCCAAAGUGGUCCCCUCUAAUUAGGAUGUUUGAGAUUACCGUCAAUAUCAUUCGAUACAAAAUAUAUAAAAAAAUAACAUAUUGGAGAAUAGUGAAGGAAAGCAGUAAGCAGCGCAAGGAAAGUGUACAAAAGAAAACAAUAAAUAUGUAGCCUCAAAAAAGACGCGCAACUUGCGAUUCUUAAAAAAAAAAAAUUAAAGUAACGGGAAAAAAUGUUGCCAUAGAAAACAACAUUUCUAGAAAUACAAAAGUAGAGAAGUAACAGACGGGAAGAAUUAACAUGUAUCUCGAAGUUUAACAAGAAAAAAUCAGUCAGAAAACGAAAUAAUAAGGUAUUUAUAAAAUAUUAAGUUCGUAAGAAAUAAUAAAUAAAAGCAUAUGAAAAUCAUAAACAAAUAUUUUAAUAAAAUAAAUGGAUAAAAAAAUAUAUGUAGAAAAUAUAAAAUUAGAGUGUUACUGUAGUAGAGAAAGAAAAGAAAAGGAAAUGUGAAAAUAAAGAAAUAAAGAAUGAAACCAAAGUGACGAAGUAAACAAGUAUAAGAAAAAAAGAAACAAAGUUAAACAAAAUAAGAGGAGGCGGUGGCUGAGUGGUUAGCGUGUCGGUGCCGCGGCCAGGAGGACGCGGGUUCACGUCCUGCUCGCCGCCACAAGCUGGUGACCGAGAGGGUCAAAGAUGAGCUCCGGGGCUGCAGCAUGAGCCAAGCAAGACGGCGUCACUAUAAGCACUUGCCUGCGCCACAACGGGCUGGAGUCGACCAUCAGGCCUUAUCAAGAAAGCCUCCCGGCGCCAUACGCAGAAACGUAAAAUAAAAAAAAAUAAAAAAAGUAAAACCAGGUAACAAACUAAGGUAAAAUAAAGAAUAAGAAGUAAGUUAAGUAACCAAGUAACUAAUAAAGUAACAAAAUAGACGAGUUAGAAAUGUAACCAAAAAAGAAACAAAAAAUAAAAAAAUAG